rnacentral:lncRNA from 1 species
GGAAAGUUUCAUCAGAUCGAGCGUUCUUAUGAAAGGAGAGAGAGGAAUUAAGAUAAGAUGCUCAAAUAUGUGGUAAUAUAUUAUUUCAUUACGUUCUUGUUUGGAGGAGAUUUAAAAGAUUUCAGCUCAUAAGUAUAUUUUAGAGACUGCAAGUCCAGUCUUUGAGAGAAUGUUUAAGGGAGACUUUAAGGAGUCAAACAAGGAGUACAUGGAGAUUGAGCAUCUGGAUGUGAUUCUUUUUGCAUCCAAGGUUGUGUAAAAAUGUGUUUGCACCGAUGAAACGGACUUUAGCGAAUUUACGAGUAAGUAUCUCCACUGAGGUAUUAUGUAGUUAAUUAAUUGAGAACUACUGUUUCUAAAGAAUAAUGUUUUUCAUGAACGAGGAAGAAUGGUGGAAGAAAACUAUUUCAAUCGAGGAAAUCCUCAUAAGGCUCUCGUGAUUAAUUAAUUUCUUGAAUAAAACGAAGUUUGUCUCUUAAUAUAUUGGAUAAUAGAUAUCACCCCAGAAAUAUCCUGACUCACAUCAAGAUUCAAAAUUAACCUGAAUAAACAUCUCGUAAACUAAGUAAAAUCUGAAAAUGAAUUUAAUACAUUUUUUUAGUCAGAAAAAUCAUAUUUUAUUUACAGAGUAUAGUAGAAGAGAAAUUAUAGUAUCAUGACAUCUGUGUAAAUCCAUUUUAACAUAUCCUUGAAUGCAAAAAGAAUCACAUCCAGAUUCUCAAUCUCCAUGUGCUCCUUGUUUGACUCAUUAAAGUCUCCCUUAAACAUUUUCUCUAACACUGGACUUACAGACUCCAAAAUAUAUUUAUUGGCAGACAUCUUCUAAAUCUCCUUCAACCAAGAAUGUAACGUAAAAAUAUAUUACAGGUAUCACCAAAACUAAGUUGGAAUAAUGAAUUCAAUUCUAUAUUUUAAAAUCGUAUGCUAAUGUCGAUUAUAUUUGCAAAACUUGGGUGACCUAGGUGUCGUAGGUCUCUUUUUGAUUGCUAAAUAGGUGAAAUAAAGGAGCUAGAUACCUACUUAGACUUUAAUUUUGACAACAGCGGAUUUCUGUGGAGAAGUAUGAAAUCAAUGCCUAUGUCAAAGAAAGCAAUCCACUAGGAAAUAAAUGAAAAUUCCGAAUGGCGUUCAACUUUGUUUGUACUUGAAUAAGUAUAUUAUAUUGUAUAUAUAAAUAAAAUUGAAUAAUGGAGAAAUACAGCUGAAACUGAA